rnacentral:misc_RNA from 1 species
GGGCCAUUGCUUCUUUUGCAGUAGGUCUAUCCUGAUGAUCAUAACGGAGAAGCUUGUCAAGAAAAUCUAUAGCCUCAGGCGACACCAGAUGCUGAUUAUCUGCAUUAAUAAAUUUGGACCAUGGCUUCCUACUGUGCCUGCCAACCAUCGCCUCCAGCUGAGGAUCAAGCUCUAGUUGAUACUUGUGCAAAUAUGCAUUCAACUCAUCAGUUCCAAGUACCUUAGCAAUUUUGACAAGCUGAUCCUGGUUAUCAUGGCCAUAGAAGAAAGGUUCCUUGCGGAAGAUCAUUCCUGCAAACAUGCAUCCAAGGCUCCACAUGUCCA